rnacentral:lncRNA from 1 species
UUCAACUUUAUUUUUUAUUAAAUUAUAUUGAUAUUUGUAUUAUUUCCUAUGAGAGGCAGUAUUAUUUGUUAAUAUUGGUCCAUGUGUCUUUGUGUUUAGGUGGUUGGUGAGGCUUUGGAAUGCAGUGAUAGUUCCACGGGUCGAGGAUGCUGUUAUAUCUAGAGUAACAGCCAAACGCUCUCCCUCCCAAAGACGGUCUCCCAACAACAAAGGUCUGAGCCCAGGUCAGAGGGCGGUAGUCAAAGCAGCUCUCAAUAUCCUGCUGAAUAAGGCUGUGCUGCAGGGCUGCCCGCUGCCCAGAACAGAGAUUGACAGGUUCUUACCAGAGUUCCAGGGAGGAUGUUUCCCUCUUUCCACCAUUGGCUCUGCCUACAGGAAAGGUGGCAGAAAAGGACGCGAUAAUGGCGCUUGGAGACGAGCCAAUACCAGUCCAAGGAAGAAAGGAAGCCCCGCCUCUGGGAGGAGCUCUAGCUGCUCUUUAAGAGAAGGUGAGGUGUAACUGAUGGCUUUGAUUUUGUAGUAUGCUUAUGCAGCUCUGCUACAGCAACAAGCUACUGUUGAUAAAAAUUCUCAGAAUAAUCUGUGUUCUUGUAUUCUUAUUAUAUAGGAUCUCUGGCCAAUUCAAGCGCUCACUCAAUGAUAAAUGUCAAUCAUGCAAGACUCAGUGAAGGAGUUGCUGUGGGUCUGUCACUCUGCUCUGAUGAUGAGACGGAUCUCAUCAGAGAACUCCAGACCAUGUGCUCUAGCAAAUCUGAGCCAGACAUAAGCAAGAUUGCUCUUUUUAAAGAGGACUUCAUCAUGCUUCCAGACUCGAUUCCGCCCACUCCUCAGAGGAGUGAUGCCGAGGUCACGCAGCCCCAAACAUGCCCUGUAACAACAGAGUGCGCUGUGGAUAUGCCCCAUCCUCCACCACAGAAGAUCGACAGUAGUCACACUUCUCCUCAGCGAGUGACAAGGCCCAGAUCGCAUCUGCCCAUCCCCAGCAGCAGAGGGGCUCAGCAGGUGAACACCUCUAGCAGCAGUUCCCUUCAGAGUCACAGCAGCAGCCCUAGCAGAGCCUCCACGAGCAGCAGAGCAAGGCAGCCCCCAUCCCAUAACAACAGAAACAACUUCUCACAAGACGACAUCUGGUUCCUGGACCCCAGCUGUAAUGAAAACUACAGUAACCGUUGAUAGACACCUCCCACUGCCCUCCCUUUGCCCUCAGUCUUUUAUGUUGUGAAGUUUGGUUACUGGCAGCAUUUUAGUAUUUGUACAUGUUGUCCAUACUUGUUACACUAUAUUACAUUGUGUACUUUGGGACCAUAGUUUUAAUAUAUUCAACUGUUUAAGUAAAGAACUCUGAGGAAAAAAAAGUACGAUGAGCUAACAGGAGAAAGACUGCUUGAACGUUUUACAAUUUGCCUUUUAGGUCAAAUGUUUUGGAUCAAAGUAAGAGCUGGUAGUGUUUUUGCUCUUUAGUAUUUACAAUCAAUCAUGUUUUAUGUUUAAAUAAGUGAAAGUUUUAAAAACUGUCGAAAAUCAGGGUUUUACCAAAUAUGUGUAAAUAAGAACUGGGAACUUAAAUGUUGUAUAGAUUGGUGUGUGCGUGUGCGUGCGUGUGUGUGUGUGAUACUGCGCUUGUACAUUGGAGGACUUUUGAAGGGAAAAUGAGAAGUGUAUAUAUUGUUUGUAUUAUUAAAUUUUGGUUCAUAUUUUUUCACUCGUUUCCAAAUGAACUGAAUGUGGCAAUAAGUACCGCCAUUGCGAUCACAGGAUAUUUUGUUUUUGUCCAUUAAGCCAUAAUUGGUAUUUUCAAUUACUCUCAUGCGUGCUCAGUGACUGGCUUGAACUUUGACUUUGUGAAACCCAACUAUGAAAUCGGAAGCGGCGCGCAUUAACUUUUCGUUUGUCUUCUAUAUUGAACAUUUAGGAUAAACAAGUAUUAUUUUAAAGUCAGUAUUGUUCAUACUGAAGAGAUUAUAGUCGACCUCUGAUGUUUAAAUGUAUUAUAGUUGUCGGAUGAGGUUCAGAGAAGUUGUCCUGUUUCCUCCAAGCACAACAAUUAAAAAUGCACUAUCCUAGACAUCACCUCAGCGCUUGGCUUUUCUUUCUCCACACAGC